CACGCNGUAAACGAUGAGUGCUAGGUGUUAGACCCUUUCCGGGGUUUAGUGCCGUAGCUAACGCAUUAAGCACUCCGCCUGGGGAGUACGACCGCAAGGUUGAAACUCAAAGGAAUUGACGGGGGCCCGCACAAGCGGUGGAGCAUGUGGUUUAAUUCGAAGCAACGCGAAGAACCUUACCAGGUCUUGACAUCCCUCUGACCGCUCUAGAGAUAGAGCUUUCCUUCGGGACAGAGGUGACAGGUGGUGCAUGGUUGUCGUCAGCUCGUGUCGUGAGAUGUUGGGUUAAGNNNNNCAACGAGCGCAACCCCUAUUGUUAGUUGCCAUCAUUGAGUUGGGCACUCUAGCGAGACUGCCGGUAAUAAACCGGAGGAAGGUGGGGAUGACGUCAAAUCAUCAUGCCCCUUAUGACCUGGGCUACACACGUGCUACAAUGGCUGGUACAACGAGUCGCAAGCCGGUGACGGCAAGCUAAUCUCUUAAAGCCAGUCUCAGUUCGGAUUGUAGGCUGCAACUCGCNUACAUGAAGUCGGAAUCGCUAGUAAUCGCGGAUCAGCACGCCGCGGUGAAUACGUUCCCGGGCCU
rnacentral:rRNA from 1 species